AAUCAACGCUGGCGGCGUGCCUAACACAUGCAAGUCGAACGCGAAAGGGGCUUCGGCCCUGAGUAGAGUGGCGAACGGGUGAGUAACACGUGGAUGACCUGCCUUCGAGUGGGGGAUAACGUCCCGAAAGGGACGCUAAUACCGCAUGACAUCCCGCCUUUGAACAGGCGGCGAUCAAAGCUGGGGAUCGUAAGACCUGGCGCUUGAAGAGGGGCCCGCGUCCGAUUAGCUAGUUGGUGGGGUAACGGCCCACCAAGGCGACGAUGCGUAGCCGACCGGAGAGGGUGAUCGGCCACACUGGGACUGAGACACGGCCCAGACUCCUACGGGAGGCAGCAGUAGGGAAUCUUCCGCAAUGGACGAAAGUCUGACGGAGCAACGCCGCGUGAGCGAAGAAGGCCUUCGGGUCGUAAAGCUCUGUUGUCAGGGAAGAACACGUACCGGAGUAACUGCCGGCACCUUGACGGUACCUGACCAGAAAGCCACGGCUAACUACGUGCCAGCCGCCGCCGUAACAC
rnacentral:rRNA from 1 species